rnacentral:precursor_RNA from 14 species
UACUAUUCCUGAAACCGUUGCUAUGUAUUUUCGGGUUUCAUCGUCGCCCUCGACACUCACAGCGAAGUGUUGAGGUAGGCAUGUAGCCCGAAAACAAAUAUGUCAACGGACCCUUGAAAUGGG